CUUGUUUUUUCAAUUUCUCUGGGCAUAUGAAAAUGAUUUUUGUACCAGGAACAAUUUUAGUAGUCUGAUAAGGCAUCCCGCCACGGACUCGAAUUUAAUGAGUGCCCGGUUUGAUCUAUCACGCACCAUUUCUCCGAAAACGUGCUGGGUUUAACCAAGAAGAGUCUGCUUGACUGCUCCCGCGAAUAUGGAUUGAUGUAGAUGCUAAACGUUGUUCUGCGGCUGGUACAUUUCAUGUGAUCACGUAUGUGGGACAUCGUGUCGAACUUAUUCUGAAACAAUUCGGACGUUCGCGAAAAAAUUUUAAAACAUCACGCGUCAAUUCUAUUUGAUACUCUAAUUGAAAUCGUCAAAUUUGUUCGCAUCGGCGCGUUUUUCAGCCCCAAGUGGUAUCAAUGUUGUCUGGCAAUGGUGUGCAAGGAGAACGUGGUAUCAUGGUUUGGAAAUCUGUCCAGUUAUAAACGCAUUGAUGUGAUGUGCACACUAUUAAACAUGUGCCUGCCGUUUGAAAUACGGUAUAUUGGGGCCUGUGUCGAGGAGCGCGGAAAGCGGGAUUACAAUGAUCUACGUGAUACAGAGCAUCACGCAAACAGUAUCACAGAACUCACUGAACUGACUGCACAAAGUGUUAUCGAAAAGCAAACAAGGAGAAAACUUGUGCUUUAUAUGGCACUUCUGCAAUCGUGCAACUAUGCUUGUGCGGUAGUGUUGUACAAAAAUUUAGCAAAUUUGGACAUUCAAGAGGUAAUAAAUUUGUUGAACGAGACUAGCUCAAAUCAAGAUGACCAACCUCUAGAAGAGCUUCUUCUGCUCUAUGCCAUGGCACUCAAUCAUCCCGCAUUCACGUAUGACCAGAAGAACACAUUUGGUAACAUCUUUGUUAAGCUGCAGGAGGAAGAGGCACGUCUUAAUAAUGCUAAAUCCAGUGCCUUGGCUAUUCACAAAUCCACCCAAAGUUGUUUGCCUUGCGUACCUAAUGAUCGCACCGUCGAGGCUGAAAUUCCAACCAAUUGUAUGGCCCCUCCGUCAAUGAAAAAUUACCCUGGUGAAAUGCAAAUGCGUGGAAACACAAUCUAUACAGGUAUUCUUCCGGCUGCAAGUUUGCAACCACCUGUUCUGUGUUUGCCCUCACCAGAACAAGUGUCUAUGGGAACAGGCAUAGGAACACAAUACAUUCACCUCGGUUUUUCGACAAUGAACCAGGUGCAGCCAUGGACAGGUCAGGUAUUGAUGAGUAAUCCGUUGAUGUAUCACACAGGUGACGUUUUUGCUUAUCCACCUUCUCCUUUAGUCAGUCGGCAAUCAUCACCUUCCCAAUCUCGAUCUCCUAGUCGCAACAACUCGCCAACGCGCAGGAAUAGCACGAUACGUACGUCCGGCCAGGACUCUCAACCUACGUCCAAUAUCUUAACUACAUCAACGAGUUCGUCUAGUAAUCAAACGAAUAUGUCGAGUUCAAACAACUCUUCCUUACCUCCUCUUCCGUCAGCUACCAUGAACAGGAAAUUUCCUAGUCAACAACCCUUACUCCCACCGCGAUCCAACCCUCCGCUAAUUACUAGUACAAUCUCCUAUAUUCAUCAUAAUAGUAUUGAAAUGUCAUCUGCCCAUGGUUCACCUUUAUCUUCAAAGCAGCCACCACUAACUCCUCGGUUGAGGUCGUCUGUCUCUGGUGACUCUCUAAGAGAAGCUCUCGGGAAAGAGAUGCCGAACUUCAAGGGAAACUUGCAGAACUAUUCACUUGAUGAGAUCAGACGAAUGAGCGAUGAAGACCUAAGAGAAAUUGGGUUAACGUCAAAUGCAAUUGGACAAUUAAGGAAUAUCGUGAAAAGUCAAACUUCCAACGGCUCAAAUCAGCUGGCAGGUGAGAAACAGUUGGAUAGUCCUAAUAACCCAAGGAAUAUUGGAGACCAGAUGGAAAGUAAGUUGGUGCCUGGAUUGGACGUCAGUGACGCCAAUAUGAAUGUCAAAUCAAUGCCAAUGCAAGAACAUCAACCGAUUGCUCACCAUCAAGGUCAUGCUACCGUACCAAGCAUGCGACGUUAUCCAACAAUGCCACCCAUGGAUCCUCCGCAAAUGCAGAUGUACACUACGCCUCCUCCCAUGUACGCAGCUCAAAGUGCCCCGUGCUACGCAUGUCUCACAGUUCCACAGUUUCAGAACCGCUAUUCUAGGUGUGACGCUCAGCACGUGUACUGCUUGGGUCAACUUCAGGCCCUGAGAUUGGAACCUGAAAGCAAUAGGCACUGCUCACAAAGUAGCAGUUCAGAAAGUACAGGGAGUCGUUCACCACCUGAAACUCCACCAGCGGCACCAUGGGUUGGUGGUUUAGAAACAUCCAUGCCACCUAUUACCGACAACCUCGGUUUGAUACAGCUUCAUUCCGUUGCGCCGAAUAAUCCUCCGCAACCCUUGCCACCUUCGGAGAGGCCGCGACACAGGAAAAGUCAAACGCAUGUGGUGCGCCAUAAAAACCAAGUGGUUAACGGAUGUGGACCUCCGAAGGUGCAUCAUUGUAUGUCCUUCCCUGCGCCACCUCCUCAUUCCCAGGUUGCGUAUCUACCACACGGGCAUUAUCCAGCUCUGCGACCAAGUGUUGGCCUUUACACGAAUUUUUCGCCGGCGGCUUACGCGCGUCCUGCAUUCCCUCCCACGUAUCAGCCUAAUGGAGAGAUGCUGUACCCUUAUCACGGGCAUCCAGGCUCCGGAGGCACGCCGCCGCCACUUCAGAAUGCAGUACCGCUACCUCAAUCUAACAUGCCGCCUACACCGGUGGUAACCUAUACGCCUGCCGUUCCACCUGCAAAGAUAUCGUGUUACAACUGCGGCAGCAAUAAUCACCUCGCCACUGAUUGUAAGGAUCUUACUAUGGAGGACCUCACUAAAAGAGAAAAAAGAAUGAAGCAGCAGGAAAGAUGCGCCGGACCGAUCCUUCGGUUUUCAGUCGAGUCCACGAAGAAGAACAUUUGGGGUAAUAGAUGAAGAAAGAAGAAGACGAGGAAAGAAAUAGUGAAAAUUGGUGAAUUGGGAGUUGUAUAAGAAUCAGACGAGCAACGGAAGCUGAUAAGAAAAAAGAAAAACGUAUAAGCAGGAAGUAGGAAAGAAAAAAAAGGCCGAGAACCCCCUGAUUGAGAAAAAGCAAUUGCAAUGAAGAAGUCCGUCUCCCCACUAGUAGUCUAUCGCCUAUAUUCUGCAGGCACAAUAAAUUUUGAAAAGACUCAACAGAUUAUAUUCAGCUUUGUGAAGAACAAUUUCAUUAACCAGCCAGUUGAAACGAUGGCUCUGCUGUUAUUCAUCGAAAAUGCUGUUAAUGAAAUGAAUAAUGCCAUUUUCCAGUAAAGCUUUGCUGAAUAUGAAACCAAUGUCAGAAAACGACAAAAGUGUUUUGUUGUAUUCAUAAAAAAGGACAUUGCAGAUUUCGGGAAGACAUUAUUUUUGAAGUGCACAAUGUACAAUAAAGUGUUGGAAAGUAAAAUUGUCUGUCGAAAUGAAGAGAAUUAUUAGUGACUUAGUUUCAGUUUCCAAUGAUCCUUAAAUUGCCAAAGCCAUAUGUUACAAUAUGGAGGAAGAACAAUUACCAAAUACAUAGCGGGAGGUACAUGCGGCGGAAAAGCGACAAGUUGGAGAAAGAAAGGAGUACGCCGAAACUGAUGAGAAUCGAAGAAGUAUGGAUAAUAAAUUAAGGAAAGAAAGAAGAAAGUGACAAUCAAAGAAACAGACAUUUCGGAAAAAACUGAAAGCGGUGAAGAAGUCAUCUUAUAUAUUUCUGUAAGUCUGUUGAUACAAAUAUUAUCUUUUAUGAUUGAAAAUGCAACUGCUUCGUUAAAAAGUUAUAAUCUUUUUCAGUUAAGGAUUUAGUGUUUAUCGCCAAUUCAUGUUUUGUCAGUAAAUAGUGUAAGAACUUGGUGGAGGCUUGAAAUGCUUUAGUAAAAAAAAGGAAUUUAGUUAAAGGUUUACUAUGUUAGUUAAUUCAUUUUGAUAUUCGGAAAGUACCAUAUUGUGUUAAUUUAAAAAAAAUAGUUUGAAGGGAAAAUUGCACCGGUCAGAUUGUGGUUGAAAAUGUAAGGGUGACAUUCCAAUAUUUAUUAAAGGAAAUUUAACAUGAGAGCGAAAGAACAUUCUGUACGAUCUAAAUCACCAUUUAAAGAUCAAACAAGUAAAUGUAUCGCUAUUCAUUGCAAAUGAAGUAUGUCUCAUUGUCGUGUUCGAGCUUCAUAUUAUAGGUUGCAGUAAUUCUGCGAAGUUUUCUUCCAAUCGGAUGAAUGAAAAAGAAAUUGUGAAUAUUGGACAUUACACGUGAUAAUUCUCAAUUCCAUGUCAAAAACGGCAACGUCAACAUUGCCACUUGUAAUCGGAUUCACGUAUACAUUUUAAGAUAACUUCUUUACACCCAGGCGGAAAAAUUAGAUAAACUUUAUAUAUAGUGUGAAUUUUUAUAUAUAAUAUUCAUUUUUUUAUACAAAAAAUGUAUAAAACAAAAGAAUAUUCUAUAUAAAACUUUACAUUAUAUAGAAACUAUAUAUAAUAUUUCCACCUGGGCAUCUUUACCAAGAACUUUCCCACUGCAACUUUUCCGUUCCUCAAAAGACGACUUUUGUACUAUUUUACAUAAAAAACUGGGGCUUCUAUUCGUACGAAUUUUUGUUCCAAAAAAGCUGCAAGAAAAAGGACCCACUCUUGCUGAAAAGGAACCGAUAAUGACAAAUGGUGUCUGAAGGAACCCAAAGUAUGGAUUACAAUGGUUAUAAUAGAGCCUUUUCAUCAUCCAGCUUGACUCACUUCAAACAUUGUAGAAGUUAAUGAUGCACAUUGUACUUAAUAAUUUGGAUUAAAUCACAUUUAACGGGUAAAAAGUAAACUACUCAUGUACCAAAAACGUGCGAGACUAUUAACCAUUAUAUAAUAUGCAGUAAUUUUUUUUUAAGAAGAUGGGUAUUUCGAUUAUCUAAUUUUAUUUGUUUUACACAAAAACAAAAAAAAAGUUUGAUCAUAUUUAUCUGUAUAAUUAUUUAUAGCAUUUCUUAAUUUCGAUUAGACCUGCGAUUUUCUGCCCAUGCGCAGUUGCGAACAUCGGCACCCGUGAACGGCCAUCAAUCGGCUAUCAAAGUAGUAAAAAGGAACCCUCCAAAAAACUGUUACCUCAGAACCUAAGUUUUAAAGGAUGCCAACUUUUACUUCAGCUACAAUAUUACUGAAGCCUCAGUUUUUUUAUGUGUUCCUACUACUUUUCUACAUUAUGUUCAACACUAUUGUAUGAAAUUUAUAUUGAAUUGAUUUCUGUACCCAAACUGGGAUUGCUUUUUUAAAU